rnacentral:lncRNA from 1 species
AGAAGACAAAGGAGCUCAGUGUCUCUUAUUGGGUUGAACAUUGUGAACUGGGUCAAAAUUUACAGCCUGCAAGAGCUGUGGUGGCUUCAGACUAUUCAUGAGCAGGAUGGGAGAAGUCUGCACUUCAUGAGCAGGAUGGGAGAAGUCUGCACUUCAUGAACAGGAUGGGAGAAGUCUGCACUUCAACAAAGGUGGAUAAGCAGAAAAGGCAAAACAGCCUUGAGGAGGGGAAGCUGAUGCAGACUGGAUGCUCAGACACCAAGAUUUUGACAAAUCUUAGAGUCUGGAUGCCUGGGUGGGGAAAAGUUGUGGUGAUGCUGCUGAUGGAGCUCCAGUAGCACAGAUCAGCAGAGGACCCAACCCAUGCAGAGCAGCAGGAACAUCAGUUCCUCCUGUUUCCUUGUGAAAACUGGUGUGAUUCCUCUUGCUGAUGAAGUGGCAAACCCGUCUUCCAGGAUUCCAGCUGGCAUGGUUUGCCUUCACAUGUUUGUGAACACAAAUGAAUUUAGCACCGAGGGACUUGGACACAGACAACGUUUCACCAGCUUAAAGAUUUAGAUGUCCAGUGAAAGCUAAGCUCAGCCUUUGGCCCCUUCCUAGAGAGCGUGGGAUAAACUGCCAGCUGGG